rnacentral:rRNA from 1 species
AGUGAACGCUGGCGGUAGGCCUAACACAUGCAAGUCGAACGGCAGCACAGGAAAGCUUGCUCUCUGGGUGGCGAGUGGCGGACGGGUGAGGAAUACAUCGGAAUCUACUCUGUCGUGGGGGAUAACGUAGGGAAACUUACGCUAAUACCGCAUACGACCUACGGGUGAAAGCAGGGGACCUUCGGGCCUUGCGCGAUUGAAUGAGCCGAUGUCGGAUUAGCUAGUUGGCGGGGUAAAGGCCCACCAAGGCGACGAGCCGUAGCUGGUCUGAGAGGAUCAUCAGCCACACUGGAACUGAGACACGGUCCAGACUCCUACGGGAGGCAGCAGUGGGGAAUAUUGGACAAUGGGCGCAAGCCUGAUCCAGCCAUACCGCGUGGGUGAAGAAGGCCUUCGGGUUGUAAAGCCCUUUUGUUGGGAAAGAAAUCCAGCUGGCUAAUACCCGGUUGGGAUGACGGUACCCAAAGAAUAAGCACCGGCUAACUUCGUGCCAGCCGCCGCCGUAA